CAUACAAUACAAAGUUGAAGAGCAUAGAGGAUCCAAAAUUCCAAAAAGUUGUGUUAAAUACGGCUAAGGUAAUCUAUUCCUGGGACAAGAAAAUCCUUAGUUUUUCGAAAAAUUCAAAGUUUUGUAUCAGGAAAUUUAUAAAAAUGAUCACAUUAUUGAUAUUCAUGUCAACACCGAAGUGCUGACUACUGGGCUGGUGAUACCCUCGGGGACGAAACGUCCACCAGCAG
rnacentral:lncRNA from 1 species